CAUCGCCUACGGGAGGCAGCAGUGGGGAAUAUUGCACAAUGGGGGAAACCCUGAUGCAGCAACGCCGCGUGAGUGAAGAAGUAUUUCGGUAUGUAAAGCUCUAUCAGCAGGGAAGAAGAUGACGGUACCUGAUUAAGAAGCCCCGGCUAACUACGUGCCAGCAGCCGCGGUAAUACGUAGGGGGCAAGCGUUAUCCGGAUUUAUUGGGUGUAAAGGGCGUGUAGGCGGGAGCGCAAGUCAGAUGUGAAAACUCAGGGCUCAACCCUGAGCCUGCAUUUGAAACUGUGUUUCUUGAGUGCUGGAGG
rnacentral:rRNA from 1 species